GAUGAACGCUAGCGGCAGGCUUAACACAUGCAAGUCGAGGGGCAGCGCGAUGUAGCAAUACAUUGGCGGCGACCGGCGCACGGGUGCGUAACACGUAUGGAACUUACCCUUUACUGGGAGAUAGCCCGGAGAAAUCCGGAUUAAUAUCCCAUAAUAAACGAAGUGGCAUCACUUUGUUUUGAAAGCUCCGGCGGUAAAGGAUGGCCAUGCGCACGAUUAGCUAGUAGGUGAGGUAACGGCUCACCUAGGCUACGAUCGUUAGGGGGCCUGAGAGGGUUAUCCCCCACACUGGUACUGAGACACGGACCAGACUCCUACGGGAGGCAGCAGUGAGGAAUAUUGCGCAAUGGAGGCAACUCUGACGCAGCCAUGCCGCGUGCAGGAAGAAGGCGCUACGCGUUGUAAACUGCUUUUAACCGGGAGAAACCCUCCGACGUGUCGGAGGUUGACGGUACCGGAGGAAUAAGCACCGGCUAACUUCGUGCCAGCAGCCGCGGUAA
rnacentral:rRNA from 1 species